rnacentral:lncRNA from 1 species
AGGAAACCUGCUGGAAGUGUCACAGCGUUCUCAUGGCGAUUCAAAGACUUCACCAGCAGAGGAAAAGCACGAUGGGAUCAAGGCAAACUCUACCGCUGCUCUCGACAUCCUGCAUUACCAUCCAAUGAAUAUGCAGAGGCACCAGCCAUUGUAGAGAACGAGCCAGAAGAGACUCGUACCAAUAUCGGGCUCAUCGCUGCUGUGUGGCUGAUGCUCUGCUGUUCCUCUGUCAUGCAGGUUCCCUCCUGAUGAACUGUGAAAGUCAGGGCGCUGUGUUAGUGGCUUCUUUGCUUCUCUCCUCUGUCUCGAACAGACAGUUCCUAUUGCCAAAUCUCUUUUUCACCAGCACUUCUGCACUGCUUCUUGGCUCAGAGCUGUCCUGCAUCACACAUCAAUCCUUCACUACUUUUCUUCUUUCUCUUAGUGUUGAUCUCAAGGGUGCUUCUCCUCUUGCACAACAAGAUACAGGGUCUCCAAGAAGCACACAGUGCUCUGAGAACG